rnacentral:rRNA from 1 species
AGAAUCAACGCUGGCGGCGUGCCUAACACAUGCAAGUCGCACGAGAAAGGGGAGCAAUCCCUGAGUAAGGUGGCGCACGGGUGAGUAACACGUGAAUGAUCUACCUCCGAGUGGGGAAUAACUGAGAGAAAUCUUAGCUAAUACCGCAUAACACUUACGAGUCAAAGCAGCAAUGCGCUUGGAGAGGAGUUCGCGGCCGAUUAGUUAGUUGGCGGGGUAAUGGCCCACCAAGACGAUGAUCGGUA